GAGGCAGCCACCAUUUAAACAGUGCGUAAUAGCUGACUCAUCGAGUGAUAUCGCGCCGAAAAUGAUUGGCGAUUAAAUCAUAUACCGAAGCCACGGACCCCGUUAUGCGGGGUGGUAGGAGAGCAUAAUCAGUGCUGCGAAGCUGGACUGUAAAGGAAAGUGGAGCGCUGAUUAGUGAGAAUGCAGACAUGAGUAGCGAUAAGCCAGAUGAGAAUUCUGGCCGCCGUAAACCCAAGGUUUCCUGGGGCAGGUUCGUCCGCCCAGGGUUAGUCGGGAGCUAAGACGAGGCCGUAGGGCGUAGUCGAUGCACAGCAGUUUAAUAUUCCUGCACCGGCAAGGGUUAAGGUAACAAGGGACGUGAAUAAGAAAGUGACUAAGUCAUCGAAAGACAGAGCCUAGCCUUCGGGCGAAGCGCAUCACCGGACUAUUGACCGAGAAAAGCUUGUUAUUGUUCCCCUGGCCGCCCGUACCGUAAACCGACACAGGUGGGUGGGUGUAAAUGCACCAAGGCGCGCGAGAUAAACCUCUCUAAGGAACUCGGCAAAAUAGCCCCGUAACUUCGGGAGAAGGGGUACCCCACGCAAGUGGGGUCACAGUAAAUUGGGUUUGGCGACUGUUUACCAAAAACACAGCACUCUGCUAAGUCGUGAAGACGACGUAUAGGGUGUGACACGUGACCAAUGCGACAAGAUUAAGGUGACUUGUUAGCCCUUGAGGCGAAGCUCGGAGCCGAAGUCCUCGUGAAUGUCGGCCGUAACUAUAACGGUCCUAAGGUAGCGAAAUUCCUUGUCGGGUAAGUUCCGACCUGCACGAAUCGUGUAACGACCGAACCGCUGUCUCGGAGAGGUUCUCGGCGAAAUUGUAGUGGCGGUGAAGAUGCCGCCUACCCGCGGUAGGACGGAAAGACCCUAUGCACCUUUACUAUAAGCUGGUAUUGGGUUCUGAUUCUUAAUGCGUAGCAUAGGUGGGAGACUUUGAAACGAUGGCUUCGGUUGUCGUGGAGUCGCCAGUGAAAUACCACUCUUUAUUAAUUAGGAUUCUAACCCCGAUCCUGUGAAGCCAGGCGGGGAACAGUGCCUGCGGGUUAGUUUGACUGGGGCGGUUUCCUCCCAAAGAGUAACGGAGGAGCGCGAAGGUACUCUCAGCACGGUUGGCAAUCGUGCGUCGAGCGCAUGGGUAGAAGAGUGCUUAACUGUGAGACACACACGUCGAGCAGAUGCGAAAGCAGGCCCAAGUGAUCCGAUAGUAGAAUGUGGAAUUGCUAUCGCUCAACGGACAAAAGGUACGCUAGGGAUAACAGGCUGAUCGCGCCCAAGAGUUCAUAUCGACGGCGCGGUUUGGCACCUCGAUGUCGGCUCGUCACAUCCUGGGGCUGGAGAAGGUCCCAAGGGUUCGGCUGUUCGCCGAUUAAAGUGGCACGCGAGCUGGGUUCAGAACGUCGUGAGACAGUUCGGUCCUUAUCCACCGUGGGCGUAGGAAACUUGAGGGGUUCAUUCCUUAGUACGAGAGGACCGGGAAUGACGCACUUCUGGUGUGGCAGUUGUUCCGUCAGGAGCAGCGCUGCGUAGCCAUGUGCGGACGAGAUAAGCGCUGAAAGCAUCUAAGUGCCAAGCUCUUCCCAAGAUAAGGUUUCCCUGAAGACCCCAGGUAGACUACCUGGUUGAUAGGUCAGGCGUGUAAGUGUGGCAACAUAUUUAGCGGACUGAUACUAAUCGGUCGUUCGGCUUGAUCGC
rnacentral:rRNA from 1 species